rnacentral:lncRNA from 1 species
GUAGGCCAGGAAGGGCAGGGGCAGGUAACCAGCUCAGACCCAACCAGGGCAGGCCAGAGGCUGCUGCUUGCUGCCCCACCCCACUGGACCUGUGACAACCCACUUGCAGGUGGCCAUUGAGUUCGAUGAACAUAUCAAUGUGGCCUUCAGCUGUGUGUCUGCUAGCUGCCGCAUCGUGCACGAGUACAUCGGGGGCUACAUUUUCCUGUCCACUCGAGAGCGGGCCCGAGGGGAGGAGCUGGACGAGGAUCUGUUCCUACAGCUUACUGGAGGGCAUGAGGCCUUCUAAAGACAGCCCCUGCUCUACCCACACCCUCCAGGGACUCUCCCAUGGCCACGCCCACCUGAACUCUCCCAGCAUGCACCCUGCUGGGCACCCUCACUUGUCCUCAGGUAGGCCAGGGCCCUCACUGGGGUAGAUGCUACCACCACCCAGCCUAGGGACGAUGGGCCCUGAGCCACACGAAGCCCCUCCUCUUGCCCUAUUGGCACAAGCUCACACCCUUGACCUAUAUGUAGUCUCUAAGCACAUGAUGAAUGCCAAAUAUGGAUAAGGAACAGGAAAUCCUGGUUUGAAGCUGGACUUUCUUUUUGCGUGUUUCAGGUUUUUUUUAAUAAAUAAAUAUUUUAUUAUUGG